CCCGCGCCCCGCUUCUCGGCGCGCGCGCAGCAUGGCGCCCCCGCAGGUCCUCGCGUUCGGGCUUCUGCUUGCCGCGGCGACGGCGACUUUUGCCGCAGCUCAGGAAGAAUGUGUCUGUGAAAACUACAAGCUGGCCGUAAACUGCUUUGUGAAUAAUAAUCAUCAAUGCCAGUGUACUUCAAUUGGUGCACAAAAUACUGUCAUUUGCUCAAAGCGUGAGUAAAAUAUCCUAAUUACCUGUAAGCUUUAUUUUGACUUAAUACUUCUUUAAUUGAUGUGCCUUGAGUUGGAAAGAGUUUUAUUGGCUUAAAUCUGAAUCAUGUUAUAAAGUAAGUGUGGGAACACAUAAAUUUCAAAUAAUCUUUGACCCUGGAACUUUAGAAUUAAUUUUUUUUUUCCCGUAAUCAUGAAAUCAGUUAUUUUUCAGUUUGGCAUUAAGGUUUCUUUUUCAGUGGCUGCCAAAUGUUUGGUGAUGAAGGCAGAAAUGAAUGGCUCCAAACUUGGGAGAAGAGCAAAACCUGAAGGGGCCCUCCAGAACAAUGAUGGGCUUUAUGAUCCUGACUGCGAUGAGAGCGGGCUCUUUAAGGCCAAGCAGUGCAACGGCACCUCCACGUGCUGGUGUGUGAACACUGCUGGGGUCAGAAGAACAGACAAGGACACUGAAAUAACCUGCUCUGAGCGAGUGAGAACCUACUGGAUCAUCAUUGAACUAAA
rnacentral:sRNA from 1 species